rnacentral:rRNA from 1 species
UACGAAGGGUGCAAGCGUUACUCGGAAUUACUGGGCGUAAAGCGUGCGUAGGUGGUUUGUUAAGUCUGUUGUGAAAGCCCCGGGCUCAACCUGGGAAUGGCAAUGGAUACUGGCAGGCUAGAGUGCGGUAGAGGGUAGUGGAAUUCCCGGUGUAGCGGUGAAAUGCGUAGAGAUCGAGAGGAACACCAGUGGCGAAGGCGGCUACCUGGACCAGCACUGACACUGAGGCACGAAAGCGUGGGGAGCAAACAGG